rnacentral:lncRNA from 10 species
CAAAGACUCACAGACCUCAGAGUUUGGUCCACUGGACCCAGGCCCACUGCUGGAUAAAAGGUGCAGCACCCACUGGCCACUUCCACGGUUUACAUCUUGCUUCAAGGCCUUGUGCCCGAUCAGCUGAGCCCCUGUGCCAACCCUCAGGUUAGAAGCUGCUAAGACAAAUACGAGAUCUUCUGAGCGUGCCAGCCCAUCCAUCUGCACCAGUAACUCUGUCUUCAUCCGCAGGCUUCCUUCAUGUUCUCCCCUACAGAGAGACAAGACGUGAUUCUCCUAAGUGUCAGAGCCUUCGCCCUCAUGACAAGAGCAGCAUUCACAGCAAUGUCCCUGUGACUGUAGAACAGUUUCUGUUCUGAUGGCCAAUGGAGCCGUUCAUACUAGAGUUAGAGAAAAUGAGCAAUUUGCUGUUAUUUUCACAUACAGUAUGAUAGAAAGCAAGUAAAUGAAUAUAAUGAUGGUAUUUGAAAGAAAACCAAAGGCAGGCAGUGAGCUGGAGAAAAUAACUAAAGGGUCCACAGUCCCACUGGUAGAUUAAAUGCAGCCCAACUGUGUCUACCUGCAGCAUUAUUUACCUCUUUAAAAAUGACAUAAUUGAGGAUAAUCCCUUUCACUUACAUAGCACACAGGAAAGUACUUUCACACCCUCAGCCUCCUGAGUAGCUGGGACCUCAGGCACAAGCCCCCUGCCUGGCUAGGUAUAUGUUUUUUUAGGAUCUAUGCCCCUUAAUACUCAACUACCUUUGCCUAAGAGAGAAGACCGUCUCUCUCUAUAUAUAUAUGUGUAUAUAUAUAUAUAUAUAAUUUAUUUAUUAUAUAUUAUAAGCAUAAUAUAUAAUUAGCAUUUGCCCAUAUAUUUGCUAUAUGUUUAAUUAUCAUUUGCCCAUAACUAUAAUUCCUUUAACAUAAUAUUAUCGAAGUCUUCAGAGCACCCAUCCCUAUUUCCUGACCCUUUGAAGACUCUUAAUUUUGGAGUCUUUGAUCCCAGACAGGGAAAUGGAAAUUCGGGGCAGAACCUGGAGCACACACAAGGAUAGCAGAUGAAGAGUCUUCACAUUAGCUCGAUGAAGGUUGUGGGAAACUGGGGACAGAGCUCGACAAAGCACACGUAACAACAAGUGCAUAGGGAGACCUGGUCUUUGUAGAGUGACUAUGAGGGUGGGCUGGUGCAUUCCCAUCUAGGUGCCUGUGCAGUUGCCUGCUUCUAUCAGGCCUGGUAUAGAAAGCAGAGUGCUCCAGCCUAGGGCUGACAAGCACCAGCUCCAGUUAAGCUGAGGAAAAUGUCCUGUUUCAAUCAAUUACAUGAAUCCCAUAUAUUACUUGGGUACAUCUUUAUGGUUGCUUUUCCCUGCUGGGAAAAUGGUUUCCAAUGAGUAAAAUUUCAUAAAUUAUAUUAUAGUUAUACUUCCAACAAGCUAAUUAAUUGUGUUUUAUUACUAUUACUUCUGCCUUGAUGAUAG